rnacentral:rRNA from 1 species
GACGAACGCUGGCGGCGUGCUUAACACAUGCAAGUCGAACGGAAGGGCCCUGCUUUUGUGGGGUGCUCGAGUGGCGAACGGGUGAGUAACACGUGAGUAACCUGCCCUUGACUUUGGGAUAACUUCAGGAAACUGGGGCUAAUACCGGAUAGGAGCUCCUGCUGCAUGGUGGGGGUUGGAAAGUUUCGGCGGUUGGGGAUGGACUCGCGGCUUAUCAGCUUGUUGGUGGGGUAGUGGCUUACCAAGGCUUUGACGGGUAGCCGGCCUGAGAGGGUGACCGGCCACAUUGGGACUGAGAUACGGCCCAGACUCCUACGGGAGGUAGCAGUGGGGAAUAUUGCACAAUGGGCGGAAGCCUGAUGCAGCAACGCCGCGUGCGGGAUGACGGCCUUCGGGUUGUAAACCGCUUUCGCCUGUGACGAAGCGUGAGUGACGGUAAUGGGUAAAGAAGCACCGGCUAACUACGUG